rnacentral:rRNA from 1 species
CCCUGAAUCACAAUAGAGGGUAUUGCCUGCCCGGUGACCCAAAGGGUUUAACGGCCGCGGUAUUUUGACCGUGCGAAGGUAGCGCAAUCACUUUGUCUUUUAAAUGGAGACCCGUAUGAAUGGCACGACGAGGGCUUAACUGUCUCCUCUUUUAAGUCAAUGAAAUUGAUCUCUCCGUGCAGAAGCGGAGAUACCCCCAUAAGACGAGAAGACCCUAUGGAGCUUUAGACACCAAGGCAGAUCAUGUAAAUACCCCCAAAACAACGGAUUAAACACGAUGCUACCUGCCCUACUGUCUUAGGUUGGGGCGACCGCGGGGAAACACACAACCCCCACGUGGAAUGGGCUCACAUUCCCUAAACCAAGAGCGCCAGCUCUAAGGAACAGACAUUCUGACCUAAAGAUCCGGCUUUGGCCGAUCAACGGACCAAGUUACCCUAGGGAUAACAGCGCAAUCCCCUUUUAGAGUCCAUAUCGACAAGGGGGUUUACGACCUCGAUGUUGGAUCAGGACAUCCUAAUGGUGCAGCCGCUAUUAAGGGUUCGUUUGUUCAACGAUUAAAGUCCUACGUGAUCU